AUACGGGGGGAGCGAGCGUUGUCCGGAAUCACUGGGCGUAAAGGGCGUGUAGGCGGCGCGGUAAGUCAGAUGUGAAAGGUCACGGCUUAACCGUGGAUGGUCAUUUGAAACUGCCGUGCUUGAGUGCGAGAGGGGGAAGUGGAAUUCCCAGUGUAGCGGUGAAAUGCGUAGAUAUUGGGAAGAACACCGGUAGCGAAGGCGGCUUCCUGGCUCGCAACUGACGCUGAGGCGCGAAAGCGUGGGGAGCAAACAGGAUUAGAAACCCGAGUAGUCC
rnacentral:rRNA from 1 species